UCAAAUUUGAAAUCUGGCGUCUUUGGCGUCCGAGUUGUAAUUUGAAGAAGGUAUCUUUGGGCCCGGCUCUUGUCUAUGUUCCUUGGAACAGGACGUCACAGAGGGUGAGAAUCCCGUGCGAUGAGAUGACCCGGGUCUGUGUAAAGUUCCUUCGACGAGUCGAGUUGUUUGGGAAUGCAGCUCUAAGUGGGUGGUAAAUUCCAUCUAAAGCUAAAUAUUGGCGAGAGACCGAUAGCGAACAAGUACAGUGAUGGAAAGAUGAAAAGAACUUUGAAAAGAGAGUGAAAAAGUACGUGAAAUUGUUGAAAGGGAAGGGCUUGAGAUCAGACUUGGUAUUUUGCAUGCUGCUCUCUCGGGGGCGGCCGCUGCGGUUUACCGGGCCAGCAUCGGUUUGGAGCGGCAGGAUAAUGGCGGAGGAAUGUGGCACGGCUUCUGCUGUGUGUUAUAGCCUCUGACGAUACUGCCAGCCUAGACCGAGGACUGCGGUUUUUACCUAGGAUGUUGGCAUAAUGAUCUUAAGUC
rnacentral:rRNA from 1 species